rnacentral:rRNA from 1 species
AACAAACGCUGGCGGCGUGCCUAACACAUGCAAGUCGUACGAGAAACACAUCCUUCGGGAUGUGGAGUAAAGUGGCGCACGGGUGAGUAACACGUGGGUAACCUGCCCUCGGGAUCGGGAUAACUGGCCGAAAGGCCCGCUAAUACCGGAUAAGACCACAUGAACCAAGGUUCAAGGGGUCAAAGUCGGCCUCUCAUAGAAGCCGGCGCCUAAGGAUGGGCCCGCGGACCAUUAGCUAGUUGGUAGGGUAACGGCCUACCAAGGCAGAGAUGGUUAGCUGGUCUGAGAGGAUGAUCAGCCACACUGGAACUGAGAUACGGUCCAGACUCCUACGGGUGGCAG